GCUUUCGGAAGCCUCUGCAACCUGAAAAGGGUCCGCGACUAUAAAUACCGGAUGCAAGUGGCUUUACCGCUGCAACAUGAUCGAAUUGCGGGGACAUCCUAAAGCCUAGCGGUACCAACUCCCCGGGGAAACCCAGGGAGGGCCUGUGCUAAUCACACAGGAGGUAAGAACCUGCUAGGAUGCCACAAUGGAUAAUCCGCAGCGGAGCCCCUAACGGCGGAAGCCCACGGGGAACGUUCACAGACUAAGUGAUUAUGGGCAACGUUGUCUGCUUAAGAUAUAGUCGGUCUCCUCGGGAAACUGGGGCGGUUAUAGCGUUCCGUAGGUGAACCUGCGGAAGGAUCAUUACAGAGUUCAUGCCUUUCGAGGUAGAUCUCCCACCCUUGUAUAUUAUCAAUAUCUGUUGCUUUGGCGGGCCGCGAGCUUAGCUUGCCCGGGCUCCCCCCCGGCGUGCCCGCCAGAGGACCCCUUAAUUCUGAAUGUUAGUAUCGUCCGAGUAUUAUAAAAUAGUUAAAACUUUCAACAACGGAUCUCUUGGUUCUGGCAUCGAUGAAGAACGCAGCGAAAUGCGAUAAGUAAUGUGAAUUGCAGAAUUCAGUGAAUCAUCGAAUCUUUGAACGCACAUUGCGCCCCUUGGUAUUCCGGGGGGCAUGCCUGUUCGAGCGUCAUUAUGACCCAUCCAGCCCAGCUGGGUGUUGGGCUUCGCCGUCAUGGCGGGCCUUAAAACUAGUGGCGGUGCUCUGAGGCUCUACGCGUAGUAACUUUUCUCGCGAUGGAGUCCUGGGAGGUGCUUGCCAUCAACCCUAAUUUUCUUAGG
rnacentral:sRNA from 1 species